rnacentral:lncRNA from 1 species
GAUUCAGCAAAGAAGUCUUGAGGAGGAACUGCUUCAGUCUCCAGAUUUGAUCAAGCAGGGAGAUGUCCUCCACAGCUGGAUCUAAGAAGCAGUGAUUGUUGAUGAGCAGGUUCAGCUGGUGCCUAUUAAUCUUCAAACUGUCGGCACCUUUGUCUUUCACCAUGGGUGUGUGUUGAUCAAAUGCAUGUGUACCUCCUGCAACAUGGUUAGUGCAAUGUGGUUCCAAAGAAAUAAUAUGCAGAGGUAUAACACCCAAUCCC